rnacentral:rRNA from 1 species
GACGAACGCUGGCGGCGUGCUUAACACAUGCAAGUCGAACGGAAAGGCCCUGCUUUUGUGGGGUGCUCGAGUGGCGAACGGGUGAGUAACACGUGAGUAACCUGCCCUUGACUGUGGGAUAACUUCACGAGACUCGGGCUAAUACCGGAUAGGAGCUCCUGCUGCAUGGUGGGGGUUGGAAAGUGUCGGCGGUUGGGGCUAGACUCGCGGGUUAUCAGCUUGUUGGUCAGGUAGUGGCUUACAAAGGGUUUGACGGGUAGCCGGCCUGAGAGGGUGAUCGGCCACAUGGUUACUGAGGUCGGGACGAGAAAAGUCAGGGGAGCAACAGUGGGGAACAUUACCGAAGGAGCGGCAGCCUGUUGCAGCGGCGCCGCGUGCGGGAGGCCUGGCUUCGGGUUGUAAACCGCUUUCGCAUGCGACGAACCGUGAGUGACGGUAAUGGGUAAGAAAGCCCCGGCUAACUACGUG